rnacentral:siRNA from 1 species
UUAUUGGACCUUGUGCUAUGC